GCUUUAUAGUGGAAAAAAGACGUCAAAUUGCAAAUUUGAAGAUGUGUGGUUACUAAAGCUUG
rnacentral:tRNA from 1 species